rnacentral:tRNA from 1 species
AGCUCUGUAGUGAUACAAUCAUUUCGAAUUGCAAAUUCGAAGAAGCAGCUUCAAUUCUGCCGGGGCUU